GACGGAGGAUGCAAGCGUUAUCCGGAAUGAUUGGGCGUAAAGCGUCCGCAGGUGGCAGUUCAAGUCUGCUGUCAAAGACCGGGGCUUAACUUCGGAAAGGCAGUGGAAACUGAACGGCUAGAGUAUGGUAGGGGCAGAGGGAAUUCCUGGUGUAGCGGUGAAAUGCGUAGAUAUUGGGAGGAACACCGGUGGCGAAGGCGGCCCCCUGGACCGGAACUGACGCUGAGGCGCGAAAGCGUGGGUAGCAAACGGG
rnacentral:rRNA from 1 species